rnacentral:lncRNA from 12 species
UUCACUUUUAAAUGGUUCUUCUAAGGUAUUGCUGCGAAAACCCCCUUUAGAAACCUUUAUUUUUAAGAGUGAAGAACUGUUUGUGGAAUGGAAGAGCUCCAUGGAUGUUAAAGGUUCUUCAUGAAACCACAGAUGCCAAUAAAGAACCUUUAUUUUUAGGAGUGUGGAGAGAUAGAUUAUGAUAGAUCCUCUUCCUGUCAAUCCAAUUAAACUUUCUGUGGGGUGUGAACAAUUCAAUUCAAAUUCCAAACUAUGAACUGGACAAAAGCCAAAUUCUUAAUUCUGAAUUUUCUACUUUUUUUUUUUUUUUUUAAUGCAGGCAUUCCAGAUACUGAACAAAAUAGCAGAAGAAACAAAUUUCAGUGCCAACACGCUCUGCAGAUUAAAGCCAUUGUUUCCGGGUCUGGGGCCUUCUUUUUUGAGAAAGCUGGUUGUUCCUGAGUCUGCGCCUGAUUGUCGGUGUUGGAGUUUAAUGCUGGCUGACCUGCAACCUGCUCAUCGAGCGAUGGUCCAUUUUGCACUCCAACAGGCUCUGGAACGCACAUCUGCAAAUAUAACACAGCAGUUGCAAUGUCUUCUACCAUUCGUUUCCUUGAAGAAAUUAAUGUCAGAUCUGGAUGGAGAGACAGUCCUUCAUCACAUAUCUCUGUAUAAGCAUAUGCCAUGGUCUCACCAACAGGCUCAAAUGCUGUUCAAAAUGACUCAGCGGACCAUAAACAUCACAAGAGUAUCAUUACUGUAAGUGAUAUCUAGCAUUACUAUACUAUAUUAUUGUUGACUGGUCGACUAGCCUCAUCAGCUACAGUAUAUUUUGCUUUGGAAAUUCAUGCUGGUCUUAGUUGCACCAUAGUCUGGGUCUCUAGCACAAAUAUGCAUUGUUUUAAUAUUUGUAUUGUUUUAAAAUUUAAUAACAUUCAUACAAAAAUGUUUCGUUCUCACUGAAGAGAUU